UAACCUUAACAUCUUAUCCCCCUUCUUUACAAAUGUGACUUCGGUACUCCAAAGGGACACACUAUGUCGAAUGAAUCCAUUAUCUUGCAAUUCAUUGUUCUAUUUCUUUAACUCAUAUGUCUCAACACGACUUAUACGGUAAGGAGCAAACGAAAUAGACUGGGUGUCUGGCUGAAGAUCUAUGGUGAAUUCAACUUCUCUAUCUACUAGCAGUCCAGGUAGUUCAUCUGGGAAUACAUUCGGGAAGUCUUGGACUACCGAAAUUUUUUGAAUACAAAUUUCUUUCUUAGGUUUGCCCUGGAUCAUGUCUGGAUUGGCUUUUGCAUCUUGCUGAGUGAAGUUGUAAGUCCUGUCAUGUAUAGGAGGUCUGACCUGGUUCUGAUUUCUUGGGCAUUCUCUCGCAUAAUGCUGGGCACUCUCACAUAUACGACAAGUAUUGUUGAGGUGAUAGCAGGGUCAAUCCCUAUGAUCCUUGCCACAGUGUUGGCAAGUCCUGCCUUGUCCUAUUGUGGGAAUCUGAGGAGGAGCCUGACUCAUCGACCUAGAUCUCUUGUUCUGCUGAACAGGUGUAUUAGUUGCUGGUCUGCAGUGUGAAACUGAGGCCUGAGGUUCCUUACUACUGUAGGAAAAAUGUGGAAGUUCCUCUCCACUACAUGUGCUUUGGCCAGAAUAGUCGAGUAAGUACUGAGCU
rnacentral:lncRNA from 1 species